AAAACAUUCAAAAUUCUUUUCAGUACUUCCAGAUGCCAAUAGCAGAGACGUACUGACAUGAAAACCUCAACAAAAAAGUUGUAUCUACCCCAUCUACCUCUGUGAUGACAGAAUCACAGAAUGGCUUGUGUUGGAAGGAACCUCAAGGAUCAUGAAGCUCCAACCCCCUCGCCACAAGCAGGGCCACCAACCUCUGCAUUUAAUCCCAGACCAGACCACAUUUAAUGCCCAGGGCCCCAUCCAACCUGACGUUGAAC
rnacentral:lncRNA from 1 species